rnacentral:rRNA from 1 species
GACGAACGCUGGCGGCGCGCCUAACACAUGCAAGUCGAACGAGCGAGAGAGAGCUUGCUUUCUCGAGCCAGUGGCGAACGGGUGAGUAACGCGUGAGGAACCUGCCUCAAAGAGGGGGACAACAGUUGCAAACGACUGCUAAUACCGCAUAAGCCCACGACCCGGCAUCGGGUAGAGGGAAAAGGAGAAAUCCGCUUUGAGAUGGCCUCGCGUCCGAUUAGCUAGUUGGUGAGGUAACGGCCCACCAAGGCGACGAUCGGUAGCCGGACUGAGAGGUUGAACGGCCACAUUGGGACUGAGACACGGCCCAGACUCCUACGGGAGGCAGCAGUGGGGAAUAUUGCACAAUGGGGGAAACCCUGAUGCAGCGACGCCGCGUGGAGGAAGAAGGUCUUCGGAUUGUAAACUCCUGUUGUUGAGGAAGAUAAUGACGGUACUCAACAAGGAAGUGACGGCUAACUACGUG